ACUCCUACGGGAGGCAGCAGUGGGGAAUAUUGCACAAUGGGGGAAACCCUGAUGCAGCCAUGCCGCGUGUGUGAAGAAGGCCUUCGGGUUGUAAAGCACUUUCAGUAGGGAGGAAAGGGUGAGUCUUAAUACGGCUCAUCUGUGACGUUACCUACAGAAGAAGGACCGGCUAACUCCGUGCCAGCAGCCGCGGUAAUACGGAGGGUCCGAGCGUUAAUCGGAAUUACUGGGCGUAAAGCGUGCGCAGGCGGUUUGUUAAGCGAGAUGUGAAAGCCCUGGGCUCAACCUAGGAAUAGCAUUUCGAACUGGCGAACUAGAGUCUUGUAGAGGGGGGUAGAAUUCCAGGUGUA
rnacentral:rRNA from 1 species